UUUGUAGAGAUAUACGUAAAGCAUGUGGGAAAAAGAACACUUUAUUAAACCCGAGUUCCGCGGUAACCCGGAGUGUCAAUGCAAAUGUCGAUGUUCUGGUGAAAAAAAGUUAUCAAACAACCAAUGGUUAUUAGUAGGAGGAGCAAUUUUCGCUGUGAUCUUACUAAUAAUAACCGCAGUUGCUUUGGCAUUGUCGUUGAAGGGGUCAAGUUCUUCAGUAAGCCAAAUAUUAGUCGACGACGAUGAACUAGAACUAGAUGAAUCGUCUCUACCAGGUGGGCUUCAUAUGAUUUCAAGAGCCGAAUGGAAAGCAAAACCAUAUAAAGGAGAAUAUACCGCCUUAAAAAAACCUGUAACGUACAUAAUAAUUCAUCAAACAUCAACUAUACGGUGCUUCAAUCAAGAUGCCUGCAAAACACAAGCAGUGAACAUUCAAGAUUAUCAUAUGAGACAUUAUAAAUUUAACGAUAUUGCUUAUAAUUUCAUUAUUGGUGGGGACGGUUAUGUUUAUGAAGGCAGAGGAUGGGAUUAUGCUGGCACUCACGCCAUCGGAUACAAUAACAUUAGUAUUGGUAUUGCAUUUAUUGGAAGCUUUACAAAGUUUCUGCCGGAGUCGCAUCAAUUAGAUCAAGCUCAAUUUUUAAUUGCGGAAGGAAUUAAAAAGAAAUACAUAUGUAAUGAUUAUAAUUUAGUGGGACUAAAUCAUAUCAAUGCUUUUGAAAAUCCCGGGAGAUUAUUGAUUGAAGAAAUUAAAAAUUGGCCCCACUUUUUUGUUUUUAACACUACAGUACAUCAACCAGAAAACACUUGCGUAUCACUUCCAUUGAAUCUUAGUAUUAUUUCAAGAGUCGAAUGGGGUGCAAAAAGAAACAUAGGCGAGUACACUCUUUUGAAAACGCCAGUAGAAUACGUGAUAAUACAUCAUACAAGAGGGGGAUCUUGUUUUAACAGCACUAUUUGUCAAAUAAAACUAAAAGCCAUUCAAGAUUUUCAUAUGAAUUUUUUCGGAUGGGAUGACAUCGCUUAUAAUUUUAUGAUUGGUGGUGAUGGUCAUGUAUACGAAGCUAGAGGGUGGGAUUAUGUUGGCACUCACACCAUCGGAUACAAUAAUAUUAGUAUUGGUAUUGCAUUUAUUGGAACAUUCAAACACUAUCUCCCGGAACAAUCUCAAAUAGAACUAGGUCAUUUAUUAAUUAAAGAAGGAGUUAGAAAUGGACACAUUCAUAAAGAUUAUAGAUUGAUCGGGAUGAAUCAAGUCACUAGUUUGGAUAGCCCCGGGAAAUUGUUAAUUCAAGAAAUUAAAACUUGGCCCCACUUUUUUGAUUUUAGGAAUGAAACACAAAGUAGAAAGAAGCAAAUUCAGCUACCACCAAAUCUUCAUAUGAUUUCAAGAAACGAAUGGGGUGCAAGAAAAAAUGUUGGAGAAUACACUCUCUUAAAAACACCAAUACCAUUCGUUAUAAUCCAUCAUACAGAAACUAACCGUUGUUUUUAUCGUACCGCUUGUAUAUUACAAGCAAAAAGUAUUCAAGCUUAUUAUAUGGAAAGUUUCGGAUGGUAUGACAUUGCUUAUAAUUUUAUGAUUGGCGGCGAUGGUUACGUAUACGAAGGUAGAGGAUGGGAUUAUAUGGGUGCUCACGCCUUGGGAUACAAUAACAUUAGCAUUGGCAUAGGAUUUAUUGGAACGUUUAUAAAAUUCGUUCCGGAACCUUCUCAAAUAGAACAAGCUCAUAUAUUAAUUGAGGACGGGGUUAAAAAUGGGUACAUUAGUGAAGAUUAUAAAUUGGUCGGAAUGAGUCAAGUCACUGGAAACGAAAGUCCUGCAACGUUAUUGAUUAAAGAAAUCAAAACUUGGCCUCACUUUUACGAAUUUCAAAGUGAAUCUGAUGAUUAAUAAAACUUUUACUAAUAAUAAGCGUUUUAUUACAUACAACGACGUUUACAAUUUUAUACCAAUAACACAAUACAUACAACCAAACCCUCUGCUCUCCUUCACCACGUCCACACUCUCGACUCCUCGACACAACCACUUCCCUCAUCCAUCUCUUGCCCUCACCUCCUCUCCCAAAAUCUGCAUCCUCCUUCAACUCGCUGCAUCCCUUCAACAUAUGGUCCAAUGUCUCGACUUCCUCCCUGCACAGCCUACACCACCUAUACACCACCCAAUACUUAUUGUGAAAUCUGACCACCAAUCUUUUCCCUCCCCAGUCCCCUUCCAUCAGCAAAUACUUUGGCAGUUCUUGUGUCACUAUCUCCCCACACCGUUCAUUAUAUCUUCCUUCCCAUAUCCGUGUCCUUCUCUUCUGCCUCUGUAUGUCCCUGUCCUUAUUCCUCAGUUCUCUCCACAUUUCACCUCUCUCUACUCUUCAGUUGUCGAUCCCCGUUAGUGAAUAUCCCACUCUCCUAUAAUAUCCUUCCUUCUCUCCUUGUCCAUACAUAUAUCAACGUCCUCUCCUUAAUUUCCGUCCAGCAUAUCACCAUAUAUCUAUCCUUUCUUCGUACUUUACUGCUUUUCUCCCAGCUUACACCCUCAAUCUCUUCCCUCACUAUGUACCCAAAAGUUUGGCCACCACCAUGUUCGCUCUUUUUGCCAUCGGCCCUAUUAAAACCCUAUUACCAGCCGAGCACCCACAUCCCAAAUACGUGUACUCUUUCACUUCCUCUAUCUCUCUUCCUUGCCACAUCCAUCCUUCCCUGUCUUCUCCUCACUUUGCAGAACUUCAUGAUCUUUGUCUUCUCGACGUUUUUCUCCAGCCCCUUCGCCUUAAAAUAUCUCUCCAGAGACCUUAUCAUCUCCUUCAUCUCCACCACCUCUCUCGCCACGACGACCAAGUCAUCCACGUACGCCAGCGUGAGUACCUUCGUUCUUCCUAUCACCAUAUUUUAAUAUGUAUAUAUUGUCAAUCGCCCCUCUUGCCUUCCGGCAACAUUUCUGCCUUCUCCAUUUCCUUUUCCACUCUCCCCAACCGUACCUUUGCAUAUUUAAACGUCAUGUCAUGGGUGAUCCCUCUAUAAUUGUCCACCGCCCCUUUACUCCCCUUUUCAUGUAGUUGGCAUAUUAUUACCAGCCUCCACCUGUUCGGCAACCCUUCCCAUCUCCAUACGUCGUUUAUUACCUUCCAUAGCUUCUUCUUCACGGUCACCAUCGCCUCCAACCAUGCCUCAUUCUGAAUCUCAUCCUCUCCUGGCGCCCUUCCCCUCUUCAGUCUUACUCUUUCUUCAACGUCGUCCCUUCGCUCGACCAAUCUGCCCUAACGUAUUUCCUAUUAUGUUUCAUUACCCUUCUAUCCCUUCUUCUCUACGCUCCCUUUAUACACACUUCCGUGGUGAUCCCAUUCUACCAACGCACCCAGAACAGACGAAUAUGGGUUCAUAAACACCAGAUAGAUCAUAUAAAAGACGUAGAGAAAAGGAUAAAAAGUUGUUUGAAUAUACACCUAUAUAUUUCAAAAUUUUACAGUAAAUUUUUUAGAUAUUUCAACAGGCUAUAACUAGAACACACUAAAACAACUGAUUCAAAAAAUAAAAAAAACUUUACACACGGAGUUAUAAAAAAGGAACUAAACUAGUUGGUAACUUGGGUUAUUGACUAAUAUUAGUGACAAGGCUCCACACACGAAGCUACUCAUCAGCGAUCAAAAUCUGUAGUUUAUUCAGUUUACUCAUGGAUGCAGAACCGUCAACAAGUGUUGUUUUGUUAACUCCAGAAGACAGUUCCAGUAACGAUGAGAAACCACCAUGACAUUAAAUUGAAAGGAGAAGAAUGAACACAAGACGGAUCAGGGUCCACCCAUACCUUGAGAGGAAUUUUCAUAAUCGUUCGUUUGUUGAUGCAAAGAAGCUCGAAAUUUCAGAUGCUAAGUUUGUAGCAUUCUACAGAAUGUCCAAAGAAAGUUAUUUGGAACUGGUGAAAUAAGUCUCCCCUGCGAUUCAGAAUCGGAACGGCUAUUUGGACUCAGUUACCUUGUUGAGAAGCUGUUGACUAGUACUGUGCGGCUGGUGAAAAACUGGCGUCAGUAGUCAUCUUGUGAGGUAUAGCCCCUAUAUCCAUCAGCGGUGAGUGAAGACAUCUGUUCAGGCCCUUGUAGCAAUUCUGAAUACGAAGAAUACGUCAUUGAUGAGGAUAAGGAAGGAGUGCGAGUGCAUCUAUCUAUUCGUAGUUCGUAUAAAUCAUAAUAGAGUACUACACUAACUGUUAAAGACACGUUAAACAGCCAAACGUCACUCAAUCUAAACGAAUGUGAUCGAUGAGACGUGUUUAGGUAUGUAGUGUGCCAUGCACCACAAAUAUGGUGCAAAAGCAUAUAAAUGCAAACAACCAUGCAUUUUUCAUCAAUCAGUUGCCAAUAACUCUUCAAACUCAUUCAUUUCACCAAAAAACGAAUAGAUGAUUGUUGUAAUUUGUAUCUUUUUUAUACAUAUUUUUGCUUUUUUUAUUUGUAUUUAAAUUAGUUUUUCUAUUUGUCAAGAAUCAUAGCAAUAAGAGGUUUUUGUUUUGUUUUCCUUGUUGUUGACAACAAGCGCGUCACUAUCAAUAAGAUUUUUGUAAGAGCGUCGUUUGAGUCGUGUCGUACCUUUAACAAUAAAUAAUUCGUUACAACAAAAGGCAGCAAAUUGUUAUUCGU